GCCCUGUUAGCUCAGUGGUAGAGCAGCUGGCUUUUAACCAGUUGAUGAGGGUUCGAUUCCCCCACGGGGCA
rnacentral:tRNA from 1 species